rnacentral:rRNA from 1 species
GAUGAACGCUAGCGGCAGGCCUAAUACAUGCAAGUCAAGGGGUAGCAAUACACCGGCGGACGGGUGCGUAACGCGUACACAACGUACCUCAGAGCGGGGGAUAGCAUUGGGAAACUGGUGGUAAAACCCCAUGGUGUUGUUGAAUGGCAUCAUUUAACAACUAAAGGUUACACUCUGAGAUCGGUGUGCGUCUGAUUAGCUAGUUGGUGGGGUAACGGCCCACCAAGGCGACGAUCAGUAGGGGGUGUGAGAGCAUGACCCCCCCACAUGGGUACUGAGACACGGACCCAACUCCUACGGGAGGCAGCAGUAAGGAAUAUUGGACAAUGGGCGAAAGCCUGAUCCAGCCAUGCCGCGUGAAGGAUGAAGGCGCUCAGCGUUGUAAACUUCUUUUGGACGGGAACAAUAUCCCCGACUUGUCGGGGCUUGAGGGUACCGUCAGAAUAAGCACCGGCUAACUCCGUGCCAGCAGCCGCGGUAAU